rnacentral:rRNA from 1 species
UACGUAGGGUGCGAGCGUUGUCCGGAAUUAUUGGGCGUAAAGGGCGCGUAGGCGGCUGCGCAAGUCUCGGGUGAAAUCCCUCGGCUCAACCGAGGAACUGCCUUGGAAACUGCGCGGCUCGAGGCCGGGAGAGGAUGGUGGAAUUCCCAGUGUAGCGGUGAAAUGCGUAGAUAUUGGGAGGAACACCGGUGGCGAAGGCGGCCAUCUGGACCGGUCCUGACGCUGAGGCGCGAAAGCGUGGGGAGCAAACAGG